CUCCUAAAUGUUCUGGGCCGCACGCGCACUACACUGAUUUAGGCAACAAGCUUCUGCCAUGCAGCCUGUUCCGAAGGGAUUGGGGAAUCUUGUGAGCCUGAAGCGUGACUGGGAUUGUCAAUUGAAAUUAUUUUCCACCAACGAGGAAUGUCUUGUAGGCGCGUUUCAUCAGAACGCACCGAAUACGUCCCUGGUUCUUGUACACACCGCCCGUCGUUGCCUGUGAUGGAUUUCGAGUAGAGCCAUCUGGACAGAUGCGUUGUCGAGCAAUCUUCGGCGCGUCGAAAAAUUUGGCAAUACUUGGAGUCUAGAAGAGGCAAAAGUCGUAACA
rnacentral:rRNA from 1 species